AUGGGGUCUUGGGGUCACU
rnacentral:miRNA from 1 species